UCAUGGGUGGCUCAGUCGGUUGAGCGUCUGACUUCAGCUCAGGUCAUGAUCUUACAGUUCGUGGAUUCGAGCCCCAUGUC
rnacentral:tRNA from 1 species